AGUGAAUAGAUACCCUGGUAGUCCACGCCGUAAACGAUGAUGACUAGCUGUCGGGGCUCAUGGAGUUUCGGUGGCGCAGCUAACGCGUUAAGUCAUCCGCCUGGGGAGUACGGCCGCAAGGUUAAAACUCAAAGAAAUUGACGGGGGCCUGCACAAGCGGUGGAGCAUGUGGUUUAAUUCGAAGCAACGCGCAGAACCUUACCAGCGUUUGACAUGGUAGGACGGUUUCCAGAGAUGGAUUCCUUCCCUUACGGGACCUACACACAGGUGCUGCAUGGCUGUCGUCAGCUCGCGUCGUGAGA
rnacentral:rRNA from 1 species